AUUGAACGCUGGCGGCAUGCCUUACACAUGCAAGUCGAACGGCAGCACGGGGGCAACCCUGGUGGCGAGUGGCGAACGGGUGAGUAACACAUCGGAACGUGCCCAGUGGUGGGGGAGUAGCUCGGCGAAAGCCGGAUUAAUACCGCAUACGACCUGUGGGUGAAAGCGGGGAGUCGCAAGACCUCGCGCCAUUGGAGCGGCCGAUGUCAGAUUAGGUUGUUGGUGGGGUAAAGGCCUACCAAGCCGACGAUCUGUAGCUGGUCUGAGAGGACGACCAGCCACACUGGGACUGAGACACGGCCCAGACUCCUACGGGAGGCAGCAGUGGGGAAUUUUGGACAAUGGGCGCAAGCCUGAUCCAGCCAUGCCGCGUGCGGGAAGAAGGCCUGG
rnacentral:rRNA from 1 species